UUUAGAGUUCUCGCUUUUCUGACCUAGCGCCCCCUGUCCUUCUCCUUAGUUUCUAAACUAGCAGAAUCGCAGGACAUCAAAAGUGGGAAGUUUCUUGUUGGUUUUUCUUCCUCACUCUCGAAUAGGUGAACUUGGUUCGUUCAAUUCUUAGGGAGAAGAAGGAUGGGAAUGAAUGGGAAGACUGGAGUAGUCUCUUCAUUAGCCGGAAGGAAUUAGUCUCCACUAGCCUCAUUCGAAGAACGAAUAAGAAAAGGCUUACUGUUUAGGUAGGAUAGAUCGAUGUGGUCCAAUGGCUAAAGCUCUGCCAGCUUCUUUGGCAACGAAGUUCUUGGUAAUUAGCAAGGGGGAAGGAAGAUCUCCACUCAUUUCAUUCAUUCAGUACCUGCGGUGAGGCGCGACCCACAACAAACGAAGGGGGAAAGCUUGCUUUGCUUGGCUUGCUGUAGCCCUAUUUUUAGGCUUGGUAAGCGUAAGCUAUUGUUGUAGGCUCGAGAAGGGUAGGCUCGCAGCUUCGCUCAGCAGAAGAGCCUGACUUUCUAUUAGUCAAGCGCUAGCGCCCAACCGGGCUUUGAAGGGAUAGGGAAAGGGAAGAAAAGAAAGAGGGUCACUCCUUUUAGGAACAUGGCUCGUUCAUUCACUUGCUCAUGA
rnacentral:lncRNA from 1 species